AACUCGUCAGGUUUAGAAGGGAGCAGACCAUCCAAAAUUUUGUUCUUCGUUGAAAAGACAAAAGGAAGGUGAUCAUGAAAACCGCUGUGUUGGUGUUCGUCGGAGUGAUCCUAGUGCAACAGACCCUUGGUCAGUUCAUGUCGGAGAAUAAAGUAAAGUGCACGCUUGGAUCGUCGGACUACGCCUACCAAAACAUGGUCCUGAAACAUGCCUGCUGCCACAAGGUCAACAACUGCUUUUGUGAGAUGAGAGACCAAGCCAAUCCGACCGUUAUCCACUGGUGCAAUGCCCCGAUCACCGCAGACCGUGUGUUGAGCAUCAUUGAGAAACUUCUCGAUAUGCUAAAAGCGCAGGUGGCAGCGAAGAAAUAAGUGCUCGUCUACCACAAAUUCAUAAUAAACAUGAUUCCAUUGCUAAUGUAAACUAUCUAUGUGUCUAGAAUAAAAUUGAGUUAAUCUACCAAAA